rnacentral:rRNA from 1 species
UGCCAGCCGCCGCGGUAAUACGUAGGGGGCAAGCGUUGUCCGGAUUUACUGGGUGUAAAGGGUGUGUAGGCGGUAUGGUAAGUCUCAUGUGAAAUCUCCCGGCUUAACUGGGAGGGGUCAUGGGAAACUGUCAAACUCGAGGGCAGCAGAGGAGAGCGGAAUUCCGGGAGUAGUGGUGAAAUGCGUAGAUACCCGGAGGAACACCCGUGGCGAAAGCGGAUCUCUGGGCUGUACCUGACGCUGAUACACGAAAGCGUGGGGAGCAAACCGGAUUAGAUA